AUGAACGACUCAUCUGGGAAGACAGUAGGCCAACAGACAAGUCAUUCCUUCUUGUACUCACACAGUUCCUCCUGCCAAAACCCUGCUCUGGAAAGGUUGUCAGGCUGUGAUUUUAGCGGCGUCCUGAGCUCCUAUGGAGAUUUGCCUCUCUCCAGCCUUGGGCUAUCUGCAUUCCUGAACAUCUCUGGGCCCAGAAGGAAAAGGAGAAUGCUGACCGGCUCUGGGAAUGGCCUGAAUGAGGAGAGACGAGAGAACUGCUCAGACAUGUUAAGUAACUCAGCAGAGGUCACACAGCUAAGGGACACAGAGGAACGUAUCAAGUAGUGAAGGCCAUUUUCCAUCACUGCUGUCCUCCACGAGCUUAUGUCUGGAAUGGGAGGCAUCUUUGCACCAAUGAACGGGUUGGAUGGUGAGUAUCAUUUUCUCUUCUCUCCCUGUCUUUAUCUCUGAGAUUUUAACUCUGGUUUCUUACUUUCAGGAGCCCAGAAAACACUUGACACAGGUAGCAUUGACCCAGAGAGAAGUGAAUCCUUGUGUCCAGUGACUAGAAGACACGCGAACCUGGAACAAGGAGCCCAGGAGGUUGCUGUGCUUCCCCCACAUAGGAGAGCACCCACCCCCUCCUGCCCCUCGCCUGUAACACAUGAUCCAUUCAGCAGUGAUUUGGUCACUGCUGAGCUGUCUUCAUUGCAUGUGAUUUUGGCGGCAGAGUCGGUCUGGAAAUUGUAUUUUCGAUUAAACCCCCUUGUUGAGCCGCUUUGGUUUUGAAAGGAUCCCAUUAGGGUGGAUAAUUAUACAGCAGUUGCUAUAGGGAGAUAUUUGCCUCAAUUUCCGCUCUUAGGUGAUUCAAAUCAAAUGUUAUUUCUUUUCCUUCUCGGAGCUGUGUGUGACCAUUUUCCUCGUACUAUAGGCUUCUCAUGAGUUAUUUUUGGAAAUCCAAAGCAAAACAGCCGUUUUGGCGGAGGCCGUUUCUAGCCUAGCAGAGUAAGCCAUAUGUACCAAUAAACACAGCCAAAGAGUCCGUGUCUUUCAAAAACACCAAAACCAUCUCCCUCUGUGGGGGUUAAAUUCUUGGGGACCACAGACUGUCCUUUGUAUCAUCCUGUAUUCCUUUGUGAACUCUAGUUAACUGAAGUCAAAGACAAUUGAAAAUCCUUUAAAAUUUGGCACCCCUGGGGGGCUCAGUUGAGCAUCUGACUCUUGGCUUCGGCUCAGGUCAUGGUCUCGGGGUCGUGGGAAGGAGCCCCACACGAGGCUCCGCACUCAGCGCUGAGUCUGCUUGGGGUUCUCCUUCUCCCUCCCGCUGCUCCUCCCCCUGCUCACAUGCUCUCUCUUUCAGACAGAAUAAAUUAAAAAAAUAUAUAGAUAGAUAGAUAUUUAUCAAAGUUCUGUCCAUUUGCGAACAAUUGUCAUUGCCCUUUUGUUCAAGAUCGCAGGCCUUGACAGAAUUUUACUGGGGACAGUCUGGUCUCUGGUCUCCCAUGAAACACAGAAAUCCCUAUAUUUUCCCACUCCCUACUGUUUCCUUCCCUCCCCAGAACACACGUAACCUACCUCAUUACGUGACUCAAGCAGACAAAUCUUCCUCUCACCCAGUAGCAGUAAGUGUGCAAAUAGUAGGAUGGAUACAAAGAUGAAUGAAUAAAAUCCCAUUUUCCUCUUAAAAAAAAAAAAAAAAAAAAAAGCUUGGGGUGCCUGGGUGGCUUAGUGGUUAAAGCCUCUGCCUUCGGCUCAGGUCAUGAUCUCAGGGUUCUGGGAUCGAGCCCUGCAUCAGGCUCUCUGCUCAGCGGGGAGCCUGCUUCCCCUUCUCUCUCUGCCUGCUGCUCUGCCUACUUGUGAUCUCUCUCUUUGUCAAAUAAAUAAAUAAAAUCUCACAAAAAGAAAAGUUUAUUACGCAAAUAGUAAAUGAAUGUUUUUCACCUGGGGAGGGUGCUUUCCAAAUAAAGCUAAGUUCUUUUUAAUCACUGGGUCCCUAUCCUGGUUUGUUCAUCAGCUCUGCUUGGGUUAUUUGGAACGCAACCUUGUAGACUUUUCUAAUGUACUUUCAUGCACACGCGCAUGUACACACACACAAGUGGGCGCAUGUGUGCCCAGGCACAGGGUGCUGUUAUUUAGACCUUUGAUAAACUAAUUACUUGCUUUUUCCCCCUCAGCAACAGAUCCUGGAGUUCUUUUUUAACUGCCACCGAAUUUUAUCCCAUUGUGUGGGUAUACCUUUUAUUCGAUCAAAUACGUAAGUUCUUUAUCUGUUCUCACACUCAUUGUAGUUCAGGAUCUCUUGCUGUGUUCAUGUUAAGAAACUUACCAUGUCCACUGUUGCCUUUGGUAGCUAUAAUGCAUUUCAUGAAAAUCAGCCAGCUGCCUUGGAGAUGAUGCCAAACCAGUUGACAGAAUCCUGGGAAAUGCUGAGGAUUGCCAGAGGGACCUGAAUCGCCUUGUCUGUGGAAACAAGGGAGAUGUACUGUGCCUGGGAAAUGCCACAGGUCUCCAGAGAGAGUGAUGUUAGAUAUCGCGUUGGCUCUGCUCAUAGUCAUCUGACGUUCUUUGAUCAAGUCAAUUCCUCUCCGCGGACCCUUAUUUUCUCAUCUGCACAAUGGACUCAGUAAGCCUUUUCCAUUACUGGACUCUGAAUAAUGGGAUUUACACAAAGCCCCAGGUUUCUUACACAGAAUGGAUGAGCCCACCCUUCACUAUGGGUCCAGAUGGGAGAGGGGCAAUUUUAGGAUAUAUUUUAAAUUUAAUUUUAUUGAAUUAAGUAUGUUUUGUAUAUUUUAAUUGAAAUAUGUAUAUUUUAAUUUUUUUUUAAAGAUUUUAUUUAUUUAUUUGACAGAGAGAGAUCACAAGUAGGCAGAGAGGCAGGCAGAGAGAGAGGAGGAAGCAGG
ensembl:lincRNA